GUAGAUUGAAGCCCGCUGGAUUGGGUGUUUAGUUGUUAACUAGAUUUAUUGCGGGAUCGAGGCCCGUCGGUCUAG
rnacentral:tRNA from 1 species